rnacentral:lncRNA from 1 species
GUAGCUAAAAGCAAAGCCGAAAAUCUAAGAUUCCUUAUUCAGUGGUUGGAUGUAUUUCCUCAUUAAGACAAUUCAUGUAGAAUAUCAGACUUGCAGGAAUGCUUUGGUAAGAAAUGGACUCUUGCUGUACGUUUCUGAGUAACUUAUUUAAUAACAAAAAUGUCUCCCUUUGAUUUGAAUAAAAAUAAAUGGCUGAAUUUUCACAGGCAGCAUGCAUAGAAGACCAGCAAGGGCCAACAAUGAAUUUCGAUGAUGACUUUUAAAAAUUGUGAAAAAAAUGCUAACAGCCUAAUUUGCAGUAUAGACUUGAUUCUGUGCCUGUUUCAGGUGGUGGUAUAAAGAAGACACAUGUACGGAAGGUGAAAUGAGGGGUUAAAAGUCACGCUAAACAUGCUGCAAAGACCUGUGGGCAUCCCAACCUUUUUUUCCUUAAUUGGGAGGAGAAGAGCUUUUUACUAAAGAGGAAGUUCAAUGGGACAAUGGAAAAAGCACUAAGAGACUUGGAGCACCUGAAGCCUCCCCACCUCCCCCAGAACAGAUUCUCAGACACCUAACAAGCAUUCCAACGCUGUCCUCCACCCCCUGCAAGGCCUGGGCACAGCAGUGAGGCAGGUUGGUGCUGGCC